UUUUGAGGAAAAAACACCCUCUACAUGAAAUCCAGGAUUUUAAACGUCAGCUACUUAAGUAUUAAGUAUUGGAAGUUAUAAAAAUGAGAAAUUUGAGAAAAAAAAAUGUCCCCCAAACAUGAAAAUUUCAAGAUUUUAAAAGUAUAAGACAUUAUAAAAAGGGAAGUUUGAGAAAGAAAAAACACUCCCGUAACAUGAAAUUUUCAAGAGAAAAAAGGUAGGGUGCCAAGAGAAAUAUUCAAACUUGGGCCGAUUGGGCUAACCUUUUGGGUUUCAGGCCCAUUAAUAAUAUCUUGAUGUAAUUUAAAAAAAAAAAUAGUAAGAACUUUAAAAAGUAUCAUCUAAUUUUAAACUCAUUCAUAAAAAUAUAUUUAAAUAUGUGAUCUUAAUAAAAUGAUAUAGAUUUACCUAAAAAAUUUAAAGUUUAUAAAUUAUUAUAUAGUUUAGUUCAAUAAAAAAUUAGUUCAUAUAUCACCAAAUAAAUAUUUAGUGUUAAUGUAAAAAGUUUACACUUGCAUCCAAUUAUAUAUCACCAAAUAAAUCAUUAUGAAAAAUUAUAUCAAAGUGAAAAAUAAAUAAAAGGAGCGAAUAAAGUAAAAAAAUUUAUCAAAAAAAAAAACUAAAAAAUUUAAACGGCCUGGACUCACCCAUUAACCCACAUAACCCAAAGUGGUCGGAUCAAACUUAAUAACAUAUGCAACUCAAUAACAAACCGACUAGGACCAUAUUUAACCAAUUUAUGUAGUUCGAUCCAUCGGUAUAAAGUAGCUUCGUCGGUCUAUUUAUAAUUCUACUAAAACAGACCUAGGAAAAAAUGGUUUAAAUGUGAACUCCCAUAUUUUUUAAUAAAAUAUUGUAUCAU
rnacentral:lncRNA from 1 species